GGGCCUAUAGUUAAAUGGUAUAAUUUCCCUCUCCAAAAGGGAAGUUCUCCGUUCGAGUCGGAGUGGGCCCG
rnacentral:tRNA from 1 species